UACGUAGGGGCCUAGCGUUGUCCGGAUUCAUUGGGCGUAAAGAGCGUGUAGGCGGCCAGGUAGGUCGGUUGUGAAAACUGGAGGCUCAACCUUCAGAGGUCGACCGAAACCAUCUGGCUAGAGUCCGGGAGAGGAGAGUGGAAUUCCUGGGUGUAGCGGUGAAAUGCGCAGAUAUCAGGAAGAACACCCGUGGCGAAAGCGGCUCUCUGGAACGGUACUGACGCUGAGACGCGAAAGCGUGGGGAGCGAACAGG
rnacentral:rRNA from 1 species